GCAAUGGUUUUUAUUCUUCUUUACGUAUAUUGUUCACGUAGGAAAUGUAUGAAAUAAUUAUUUUAUCAUUGUUUUACUUAUUCAGCACAUAUCUUAGUGAUCAGAUUAAUUCAGAAGCAGGCGGACCAGAACCUGUUAUCACAUCUAACUUUAUAGAUAUAGAUGAUUUGAUUAACGGUGAUAUUCCACUGUUCACCGACUUCUACUUGCCAUCAAUAAAAGAUAGAGAUAAUAGUACGAAACGAAGGCGAAGUGACGAAUUAUUCAUUUCAAGGAGUACGCUGCCAAUUUUGUUGGCUGCUGAUUACGAUCAAAUCCCCUGUCCAAAUUCAUCAUUUGAUAUAAUUGAGUUUAACAAGUUGAAUCCAAUAGUAAAUAACAUCAGUAGAAGAUUUGGCGGUCGCUGGUAUGGCUACACAGAUCCAGAUGACAAAGCCAUAAAUUUUGAGACUGAAAAACAGAAAAAAAUUAGGUUAUACAAUGUAGCUAUACAAUUUCUGUUGCACUCCCGUUACCUUAUCAGAAAAGUGAUGAGUCAAAAGGCGAAAUAUCGAGGAAGUUCGCGUUAUAAAAUCGGAUACCUGUUUAACAGACUGAGACGUAUCAGGUACGAACAAUUGAAAAUCGUGACGGUGGCAGAAAAUCAGCUUCAUACAGAUAAUUGGCAAAAUUUGACAGCGUUAUUGAGGUUCUACGAGAAGGUUGUGAGGAUGGAUGUUGACUUGAAAGAUACCAUUUUGUGGAUCAAAGAUUUCCAUAAUCGUACAGAAAUUAGAAAAGAUCAGGAGAUGAAUGAAUAUUUAAAGAAGAAAGGCAAUAUUGUGAAGGAAUAAGUUUAUUUAUUUAUAUUUAAAAUAUUCACAACGUAUUUUUUUUUCUAAAACUAUCCUUUAGUAAAUUAUUGAAAAAACUUGUCUCAAGGGCGAAAUAUUCUUGUGGCAGGUUAUUUUUCAUAACUCGGAACAUGCAUUGUUUAUCUAAUAUGAAUUUAUUUUACACACACUGGGGUAUGGGAAAAUGCUGCGUCUGUUAAAUAAGUAAUAAGUUUUCUGUUUCUGAUAUUGUAAGCUUUUGAUUAUUGCAACUUAGACAAGUAACCUUUGUGUUAAUUACACGCUUGGCCACUUAAGUUUACUGCUUGCUGCUGUGAAAAAUAAAAAACAAACUCACGAACACUCGUUAAUAAUUUAAUAGCAAUGUAUAUGCUCGUAGUGUUGAACAUAUUAUCAACAGUGAGCAGCCAAGAUCUCCAAAUAUUCCCAGACAUAUCUGAUCUUUUCGAAACAUUUAACCAAUCUUCCAAUAUUGCACCACAAGGAGACAUUAUAAUAAAAAAUAUUACGAUCGAUGUCGAAAGGGUCGACAUUGAAAAGCUAAAAAAGAAAUUAAAUAUGAGCCAGAAUAUUGAUUUUACAAGAAUGAAUGAUACCAGGAGAUUAGGCUGGCACGGUGGUUAUUACGAAUGGCAGGAGGCCUCUCGGUAUGAGGUUAAACUGAAGGUUUUAGACCUUAUGCUGCAAUUCAUCUACAUGGCUAGACAUAAAGUGAAACGCCUAGAAGCUGAGCGGUAUUUUAACCCUAAAGAUACGUCGUAUCGUAUCGCCUUUCUUUACAGACGUUUGAUACGUAUUUUUAAGAGGAUGAACGAUAUUUAUAGUACAAUGUGCAAGAUUAAAGAAAGAAAAUCACUUAACAUGGAACAUCAACUCUUCCUACAUCACAAGUCUGCGAAACUCCAUGUAGAUUUCCUCUACCUUUGGUGGGUGCUUGUAAAGUUACACGAGAAAUAUUCUCUAGCUCAUGGGAUACCCAAUGUUGUACCUGAUAAAUAUAUGCCAUAAACUCUACUAUGUUUAAAAAAAAUAUUUUAUUUCACACAAAAUAUGAAUGACAUUAAGAAGUGAAUGUUUAAUAAAUUUAUUGAAAAAAAGAUGUCAUUAUUAAAGUGAAGACAACCUUAAUUGAAUAAUAUUAUAAUCUAUUUUGACUAAAUUUCAUAUAC